rnacentral:lncRNA from 1 species
ACGCGGCCACAUAACCGUCCAGGGGGCGGGGGGCAGCGCGGUGAAAUGGAAAAGGAUUUAACUGGGGGAUCUAGGUGCUGGGGACACUGACAUUUUCGGACCCCGGCCGCAGCCCUGAGUCAGCUUCCCCGCUCCUCGCCCGCCCGGCUGCGCCUGCGCGGAGCCGCCUCACUGUGACCCAGCAAGCGCGCCGCCUGCGAGAAGCGACCGGACACUUCGAGAAGGGAAGUGGAGAAGCGAGGAGUGGGCGGGCCUGCGGGGCGCGGCGGGGCGGGAUUGGCCGGAUGGCUGGUGUCGUCUUCGGUGUGCGCCGGCGCCACUGGGCCGCGGCCUGGCGGGAUUGGCCGGUCUGCGGGUGACGUUGUCGGGGCGCGCCCGGAAACCCCAAGGCCCAGACGGCUCUCAGAUCCGGGGGCUGCGGAUAAAUCCCCGUAGGCCGCGGGCAGCGAGAUGUUGCGUUCCGGUGUGGGUGUGGGUGUGCCUCCGACGGCGUCUCGGUGCCAGUGUCGAGGUUCUUUCUGCUUAGCUACCCGGAGCCGACUACGGAGGAGGACACC